rnacentral:rRNA from 1 species
ACGGAGGAUGCGAGCGUUAUCCGGAUUCAUUGGGUUUAAAGGGUGCGUAGGCGGACUAUUAAGUCAGUGGUGAAAUCCUGCAGCUUAACUGCAGAACUGCCAUUGAUACUGAUAGCCUUGAGUUUGGUUAAGGUAGAUGGAAUGUGUCAUGUAGCGGUGAAAUGCUUAGAUAUUUGGCGGAACACCGGUGGCGAAGGCAGUUUACUGAGUUAUACCAGACGCUGAGGCACGAAAGCGUGGGGAUCAAACAG